rnacentral:lncRNA from 1 species
GCUCACUUCCUCUCUCUGGGACCUUUUGACAGCAGAGAUUUGGCUGGUGGCAGCGUGCUGGGCUUUUCGGCAUCUUGAUGUAGUUACAAGCUAUUAUCCGGUUCGGUGGUAACAAGAGAUCUCAGUACCUGGGUUAGGAUCAAGACCUAUGGAACUACAAUCCUCAAACAUCCAGCCCCAGAGCAUCUCUUUCUGAACAAAAGGGAAUUAAUUCCUUAUUAUGAAGAAGGUAGGUUUGCUGAAUAAAAAACUACCAUGCCUCCUUCUAGGACAAG